CAUAUCAAUGCAAUGAUUCAUGUAUGAGGAUUGUUUAAUCUUUUCAAUUAAGUUUAAUACUUCAUUUUCUGACUUCUAGAAAGUGACUCAACCAAAACAGAGGAACAGACCACCUUACCCCCCACAAAUGACAACCAGGAAAAUCAAAGAGCCUCAGAUGACUCUGAAGGCAAAACUGUGGAACAGUAGCAGAUCAGAUUAGAACAACUACAAAAUUAUUUGAUAUUACAAUAAAUAUA